rnacentral:rRNA from 1 species
UACAGAGGGGGCAAGCGUUGUUCGGAAUUACUGGGCGUAAAGGGCGCGUAGGCGGCCUGCUAAGUCGAACGUGAAAUCCCUGGGCUCAACCCAGGAACUGCGUCCGAUACUGGUUGGCUUGAACCCGGGAGAGGGAUGUGGAAUUCCAGGUGUAGCGGUGAAAUGCGUAGAUAUCUGGAGGAACACCGGUGGCGAAGGCGACAUCCUGGACCGGUAUUGACGCUGAGGCGCGAAAGCCAGGGGAGCAAACGGG